rnacentral:rRNA from 1 species
CCUACGGGGGGCUGCAGUGAGGAAUAUUGGUCAAUGGACGAGAGUCUGAACCAGCCAAGUAGCGUGAAGGAUGACUGCCCUAUGGGUUGUAAACUUCUUUUAUAAAGGAAUAAAACGAGGCACGUGUGCCUUUUUGCAUGUACUUUAUGAAUAAGGAUCGGCUAACUCCGUGCCAGCAGCCGCGGUAAUACGGAGGAUCCGAGCGUUAUCCGGAUUUAUUGGGUUUAAAGGGAGCGUAGAUGGGUUGUUAAGUCAGUUGUGAAAGUUUGCGGCUCAACCGUAAAAUUGCAAUUGAUACUGGUAGUCUUGAGUACAGUUGAGGUAGGCGGAAUUCGUGGUGUAGCGGUGAAAUGCUUAGAUAUCACGAAGAACCCCGAUUGCGAAGGCAGCUUACUAAACUGUGACUGACAUUGAUGCUCGAAAGUGUGGGUAUCAAACAGGAUUAGAUACCCCGGUAGUC